rnacentral:lncRNA from 1 species
GCCCGGCCCACUUCUAGCCCUAAAAAUAGUGGAUUAUCACCCCAAAUUUCAUGGAGGAAAAGUCGACUAUUUUAUGAGCCCAGUAGCCAGAAUUUUCUACCAUUGAAGUGUCUUGGAAGAUCAGUCUCUACAUGAUGAAUUUCAAUGUUCUGCUUUCUGAUUUUUCAUGCAGAACUCUGUUAUCUAUUUGCUUUGACUCUUCUAUGUAUAUUCUUCUCUCCUUUCUAUGCUGUAUCAUAUUUUCUAAUUAUAAAUAAAAUAGAUGGCUAAGCC